rnacentral:rRNA from 1 species
GAUGAACGCUGGCGGCGUGCCUAAUACAUGCGAGUCGAGCGAACAGACGAGGAGCUUGCUCCUCUGACGUUAGCGGCGGACGGGUGAGUAACACGUGGAUAACCUACCUAUAAGACUGGGAUAACUUCGGGAAACCGGAGCUAAUACCGGAUAAUAUAUUGAACCGCAUGGUUCAAUAGUGAAAGACGGUUUUGCUGUCACUUAUAGAUGGAUCCGCGCCGCAUUAGCUAGUUGGUAAGGUAACGGCUUACCAAGGCGACGAUGCGUAGCCGACCUGAGAGGGUGAACGGCCACACUGGAACUGAGACACGGUCCAGACUCCUACGGGAGGCAGCAGUAGGGAAUCUUCCGCAAUGGGCGAAAGCCUGACGGAGCAACGCCGCGUGAGUGAUGAAGGUCUUCUGAUCGUAAAACUCUGUUAUUAGGGAAGAACAAAUGUGUAAGUAACUAUGCACGUCUUGACGGUACCUAAUCAGAAAGCCACGGCUAACUACGUG